GCACUGCUAACGAGUCCAACAAUAGGACGAAACGGCUGUUCAGUAC
rnacentral:hammerhead_ribozyme from 1 species